rnacentral:rRNA from 1 species
YCUUGCUCAGGAUGAACGCUGUCGCGUGCCUAAUACAUGCAAGUCGAGCGAACAGACGAGGAGCUGCUCCUCUGACGUUAGCGGCGGACGGGUGAGUAACACGUGGAUAACCUACCUAUAAGACUGGGAUAACUUCGGGAAACCGGAGCUAAUACCGGAUAAUAUAUUGAACCGCAUGGWUCAAUAGUGAAAGACGGUUUUGCUGUMACUUAUAGAUGGAUCCGCGCCGCAUUAGCUAGUUGGUAAGGUAACGGCUUACCAAGGCAACGAUGCGUAGCCGACCUGAGAGGGUGAUCGGCCACACUGGAACUGAGACACGGUCCAGACUCUACGGGAGGCAGCAGUAGGGAAUCUUCCGCAAUGGGCGAAAGCCUGACGGAGCAACGCCGCGUGAGUGAUGAAGGUCUUCGGAYCGUAAAACUCUGUUAUUAGGGAAGAAMAAAUGUGUAAGUAACUAUGCACGUCUUGACGGUACCUAAUCAGAAAGCCACGGCUAACUACGUGCCAGCAGCCGCGGUAAUACGUAGGUGGCAAGCGUUAUCCGGAAUUAUUGGGCGUAAAGCGCGCGUAGGYGGUUUUUUAAGUCUGAUGUGAAAGCCCACGGCUCAACCGUGGAGGGUCAUUGGAAACUGGAAAACUUGAGUGCAGAAGAGGAAAGUGGAAUUCCAUGUGUAGCGGUGAAAUGCGCAGAGAUAUGGAGGAACACCAGUGGCGAAGGCGACUUUCUGGUCUGUAACUGACGCUGAUGUGCGAAAGCGUGGGGAUCAAACAGGAUUAGAUACCCUGGUAGUCCACGCCGUAAACGAUGAGUGCUAAGUGUUAGGGGGUUUCCGCCCCUUAGUGCUGUCACUAACGCAUUAAGCACUC